AAUAGAUACCCAGGUAGUCCACGCCGUAAACGAUGAGUGCUAAGUGUUAGAGGGUUUCCGCCCUUUAGUGCUGCAGCUAACGCAUUAAGCACUCCGCCUGGGGAGUACGGCCGCAAGGCUGAAACUCAAAGGAAUUGACGGGGGCCCGCACAAGCGGUGGAGCAUGUGGUUUAAUUCGAAGCAACGCGAAGAACCUUACCAGGUCUUGACAUCCUCUGCCAACCCUAGAGAUAGGGCGUUCCCCUUCGGGGGACAGAGUGACAGGUGGUGCAUGGUUGUCGUCAGCUCGUGUCGUGAGAUGUUGGGUUAAGUCCCGCAACGAGCGCAACCCUUGAUCUUAGUUGCCAGCAUUCAGUUGGGCACUCUAAGGUGACUGCCGGUGACAAACCGGAGGAAGGUGGGGAUGACGUCAAAUCAUCAUGCCCCUUAUGACCUGGGCUACACACGUGCUACAAUGGAUGGUACAAAGAGCUGCGAACCCGCGAGGGUAAGCCAAUCUCAUAAAAGCCAUUCUCAGUUCGGAUUGUAGG
rnacentral:rRNA from 1 species